rnacentral:rRNA from 1 species
CCCGCUCAGAAACUCAAAUGAAUUGACGGGGGCCCGCACAAGCGGAGGAGCAUGUGGUUUAAUUCGAUGAUACGCGAGGAACCUUACCUGGGCUCGAACGUAAGAUGACUGUAGGUGAAAGCUUACAUCUCUUCGGAGCAUUUUACGAGGUGCUGCAUGGUUGUCGUCAGCUCGUGCCGUGAGGUGUCGGGUUAAGUCCCAUAACGAGCGCAACCCCUACCUUUAGUUGCCAUCAGGUUAAGCUGGGGACUCUAAAGGAACUGCCUACGCAAGUAGUGAGGAAGGCGGGGAUGACGUCAAAUCAGCACGGCCCUUACGUCCAGGGCUACACACGUGCUACAAUGGCCGAUACAGAGGGCAGCUACCUGGUGACAGGAUGCAAAUCUCCAAAGUCGGUCUCAGUUCGGAUCGGAGUCUGCAACCCGACUCCGUGAAGUUGGAUUCGCUAGUAAUCGCGCAUCAGCCAUGGCGCGGUGAAUACGUUCCCGGGCCUU